rnacentral:misc_RNA from 1 species
GAUGAAGAACGUAGCGAAAUGCGAUAAGUAGUGUGAAUUGCAGAAUUCAGUGAAUCAUCGAAUCUUUGAACGCACAUUGCGCCCUUUGGUAUUCCUUAGGGCAUGCCUGUUCGAGCGUCAUUUAAACCUUCAAGCUCAGCUUGGUGUUGGGUGACUGUCCGCUUCACCGCGGACUCGCCUCAAAAUUAUUGGCGGCCGGUACAUUGGCUUCGAGCGCAGCAGAAACGCGAACUCGGGCCCGUCGUAUUGGCUCCCAGAAGCUAUCUGCACAAUUUUGACCUCGGAUCAGGUAGGGAUACCCGCUGAACUUAAGCAUAUCAAUAAGCGGAGGA